CCUACGGGAGGCAGCAGUGGGGAAUAUUGGACAAUGGGCGCAAGCCUGAUCCAGCCAUGCCGCGUGUGUGAAGAAGGCCUUCGGGUUGUAAAGCACUUUUAUCCGGAAAGAAAAGCUUUGGGUUAAUACCCUGAAGUCAUGGACGGUACCGGAAGAAUAAGCACCGGCUAACUUCGUGCCAGCAGCCGCGGUAAUACGAAGGGUGCAAGCGUUACUCGGAAUUACUGGGCGUAAAGCGUGCGUAGGUGGUUUGUUAAGUCUGAUGUGAAAGCCCUAGGCUCAACCUGGGAAUUGCAUUGGAUACUGGCAGGCUAGAGUGCGGUAGAGGAUAGUGGAAUUCCCGGUGUAGCAGUGAAAUGCGUAGAGAUCGGGAGGAACAUCUGUGGCGAAGGCGACUAUCUGGACCAGCACUGACACUGAGGCACGAAAGCGUGGGGAGCAAACAGGAUUAGAUACCCUGGUAGUCCACGCCCUAAACGAUGCGAACUGGAUGUUGGGUGCAACUAGGCACUCAGUAUCGAAGCUAACGCGUUAAGUUCGCCGCCUGGGGAAUCGGUCGCAAGACUUGAAACUCAAANAGAGUAGAGNGNGAGAGNGCGAGGCGACACGAGGGAGGAGG
rnacentral:rRNA from 1 species